GACGAACGCUGGCGGCGUGCUUAACACAUGCAAGUCGAACGGAAAGGCCCUGCUUUUGUGGGGUGCUCGAGUGGCGAACGGGUGAGUAACACGUGAGUAACCUGCCCUUGACUUUGGGAUAACUUCAGGAAACUGGGGCUAAUACCGGAUAGGAGCUCCUGCUGCAUGGUGGGGGUUGGAAAGUUUCGGCGGUUGGGGAUGGACUCGCGGCUUAUCAGCUUGUUGGUGGGGUAGUGGCUUACCAAGGCUUUGACGGGUAGCCGGCAUGAGAGGGUGACCGGCCACAUUGGGACUGAGAUACGGCCCAGACUCCUACGGGAGGCAGCAGGGGGGAAUAUUGCACAGUGGGCGGAAGCCUGAUGCAGCAACGCCGCGUGCGGGAUGACGGCCUGCGGGUUGUAAACCGCUUUCGCUUGUGACGAAGCGGUAGUGACGGUAAUGGGUAAAGAAGCACCGGCUAACUACGUG
rnacentral:rRNA from 1 species